rnacentral:rRNA from 1 species
AUGAGAGACCUUCUUAAGUAUUGCAAAAGAAGGGGCCUGCUGAUAGAGCUGGGCGGGGAGGCGAUACUAGUUAUCAGGUCAGAGAGAGGCCUGGCCCGUAAGCUGGCCCCCUUUAAAAGCCAUUCCUUAUUAAUAAGGAUUUGUUACGCGCGAUAUGCCAACGACAUACUACUGGGAAUCGUGGGUGCCGUAUUUCUUCUCAUAGAAAUACAAAAAUGUAUCACCCACUUCCUACAAUCCGGUCUGAACCUUUGGGUAGGAUCCACAGGAUCAACAACCAUAGCUGCACGGAGUACGGUAGAAUUCCCCGGUACGGUCAUUCGGGAAGUCCCCCCCGAGGACGACUCCCAUACAAUUCUUGCGAGAGCUGGAGAAGCGUCUAUGGGUAAAGCACCGUAUCCAUAUAACUGCCUGCCACCUACGCUCCGCCAUCCAUUCCAAGUUUAG